CCUAUGAUGAAACACAUAAUUGAUAACAUUAUGAUAAAUAAGCAUUCCUCUAAGAAGUACUGAGGUU